UACGUAGGCAGCAAGCGUUGUUCGGAAUUACUGGGCGUAAAGAGUGUGUAGGCGGUGCUCUAAGUCUGUUGUGAAAUCUCCCGGCUUAACUGGGAGGGUGCGGCGGAGACUGGAGUGCUAGAGUGUGGGAGAGGUAAGCGGAAUUCCUGGUGUAGCGGUGAAAUGCGUAGAUAUCAGGAGGAACACCUGUGGUGUAGACAGCUUACUGGACCACGACUGACGCUGAGAUACGAAAGCGUGGGUAGCAAACAGG
rnacentral:rRNA from 1 species